CCUACGGGUGGCAGCAGUGGGGAAUAUUGGACAAUGGGCGAAAGCCUGAUCCAGCCAUGCCGCGUGUGUGAAGAAGGCCUUCGGGUUGUAAAGCACUUUCAGUGGGGAAGAAAGCCUUGAGGCUAAUACCCUCGAGGAAGGACAUCACCCACAGAAGAAGCACCGGCUAACUCCGUGCCAGCAGCCGCGGUAAUACGGAGGGUGCGAGCGUUAAUCGGAAUUACUGGGCGUAAAGCGCGCGUAGGCGGUCUGAUAAGCCGGUUGUGAAAGCCCCGGGCUCAACCUGGGAACGGCAUCCGGAACUGUCAGGCUAGAGUGCAGGAGAGGAAGGUAGAAUUCCCGGUGUAGCGGUGAAAUGCGUAGAGAUCGGGAGGAAUACCAGUGGCGAAGGCGGCCUUCUGGACUGACACUGACGCUGAGGUGCGAAAGCGUGGGUAGCAAACAGGAUUAGAUACCCCAGUAGUC
rnacentral:rRNA from 1 species